GAGCUCCUUGAUUCUUUUCUACUGUUGCCUAGUCUCCUCUCUGACUUGACCAUCGGAGGAUCCCCGCCGGAGUCACCUCCGGUCAGUGUGGACUUCUUUUGCAGGCACUCGUUCCCGACGACCAGGCGACGAGGGGAUUGGCUGCAACAGGUUUGGCGCGCCAGGUAGGGGGUAGGAACAGGGAUUGCGACCCCCACAGAACUCGAGACAUCC
rnacentral:lncRNA from 1 species